UACGUAGGGUGCAAGCGUUGUCCGGAAUUAUUGGGCGUAAAGAGCUCGUAGGCGGUUUGUCGCGUCUGCUGUGAAAAUCCAGGGCUUAACCCUGGACCUGCAGUGGGUACGGGCAGACUAGAGUGCGGUAGGGGAGAUCGGAAUUCCUGGUGUAGCGGUGAAAUGCGCAGAUAUCAGGAGGAACACCGGUGGCGAAGGCGGAUCUCUGGGCCGUAACUGACGCUGAGGAGCGAAAGCAUGGGGAGC
rnacentral:rRNA from 1 species